AGAGUUUGAUCCCUGGCUCAGAUUGAACGCUGGCGGCAGGCUUAACACAUGCAAGUCGAGCGGUAGCACAGGGGAGCUUGCUCCCUGGGUGACGAGCGGCGGACGGGUGAGUAAUGUCUGGGAAACUGCCUGAUGGAGGGGGAUAACUACUGGAAACGGUAGCUAAUACCGCAUAACGUCGCAAGACCAAAGAGGGGGACCUUCGGGCCUCUUGCCAUCAGAUGUGCCCAGAUGGGAUUAGCUAGUAGGUGGGGUAAUGGCUCACCUAGGCGACGAUCCCUAGCUGGUCUGAGAGGAUGACCAGCCACACUGGAACUGAGACACGGUCCAGACUCCUACGGGAGGCAGCAGUGGGGAAUAUUGCACAAUGGGCGCAAGCCUGAUGCAGCCAUGCCGCGUGUGUGAAGAAGGCCUUCGGGUUGUAAAGCACUUUCAGCGAGGAGGAAGGUGGUGAGCUUAAUACUGUUCAUCAAUUGA
rnacentral:rRNA from 1 species